rnacentral:rRNA from 1 species
UACGUAGGGGGCAAGCGUUGUCCGGAAUCAUUGGGCGUAAAGAGCGUGUAGGCGGCUUGGCAAGUCUGACGUGAAAUCUUGCGGCUCAACCGCAAGCUGUCGUUGGAAACUGCCUCGCUAGAGUCCGGAAGAGGAGAGCGGAAUUCCUGGUGUAGCGGUGGAAUGCGCAGAUAUCAGGAAGAACACCCGUGGCGAAGGCGGCUCCUCUGGGACGGUACUGACGGCUGAGACGCGAAAGCGUGGGGAGCAAACAGG